rnacentral:rRNA from 1 species
CAGCUUACACAUGCAAGUCGAGCGGUAACAGGGGGUGCUUGCACCCCGCUGACGAGCGGCGGACGGGUGAGUAAUGCAUAGGAAUCUGCCCAGUAGUGGGGGAUAGCCCGGGGAAACCCGGAUUAAUACCGCAUACGCCCUUUGGGGGAAAGCAGGGGAUCUUCGGACCUUGCGCUAUUGGAUGAGCCUAUGUCGGAUUAGCUAGUUGGUGGGGUAAAGGCCUACCAAGGCGACGAUCCGUAGCUGGUCUGAGAGGAUGAUCAGCCACAUCGGGACUGAGACACGGCCCGAACUCCUACGGGAGGCAGCAGUGGGGAAUAUUGGACAAUGGGGGCAACCCUGAUCCAGCCAUGCCGCGUGUGUGAAGAAGGCUUUCGGGUUGUAAAGCACUUUCAGUGAGGAGGAAAACCUUCUGGUUAAUACCCAUGAGGCUUGACGUUACUCACAGAAGAAGCACCGGCUAACUCCGUGCCAGCAGCCGCGGUAAUACGGAGGGUGCAAGCGUUAAUCGGAAUUACUGGGCGUAAAGCGCGCGUAGGUGGUUUGAUAAGCGAGAUGUGAAAGCCCCGGGCUUAACCUGGGAACGGCAUUUCGA